CGCGGCCUAUCAGCUUGUUGGUGGGGUAAUGGCCUACCAAGGCGGCGACGGGUAGCCAGCCUGAGAGGGUGUACGGCCACAUUGGGACUGAGAUACGGCCCAGACUCCUACGGGAGGCAGCAGUGGGGAAUAUUGCACAAUGGGCGCAAGCCUGAUGCAGCGACGCCGCGUGGGGGAUGAAGGCCUUCGGGUUGUAAACUCCUUUCGCUAGGGACGAAGCUUUGUUGUGACGGUACCUAGAUAAGAAGCACCGGCUAACUACGUGCCAGCAGCCGCGGUAAUACGUAGGGUGCGAGCGUUGUCCGGAAUUACUGGGCGUAAAGGGCUCGUAGGUGGUUUGUCGCGUCGUCUGUGAAAUUCUGGGGCUUAACUCCGGGCGUGCAGGCGAUACGGGCAUAACUUGAGUGCUGUAGGGGUAACUGGAAUUCCUGGUGUAGCGGUGAAAUGCGCAGAUAUCAGGAGGAACACCGAUGGCGAAGGCAGGUUACUGGGCAGUUACUGACGCUGAGGAGCGAAAGCAUGGGUAGCGAACAGGAUUAGACACCCUGGUAGUCCAUGCCGUAAACGGUGGGCGCUAGGUGUGAGGGUCUUUCUACGACUUUCGUGCCGUAGCUAACGCAUUAAGCGCCCCGCCUGGGGAGUACGG
rnacentral:rRNA from 1 species